rnacentral:rRNA from 1 species
AACGAACGCUGGCGGUAGGCUUAACACAUGCAAGUCGAACGGUUGUAGCAAUACAGCAGUGGCGCACGGGUGAGUAACGCGUGGAUAUCUGCCUUUCGGUUCGGAAUAACUCCGGGAAACUGGAGCUAAUACCGGAUGGUUCCUACGGGAUAAAGAUUUAUCGCCAAAAGAUGAGUCCGCGUACGAUUAGCUAGUUGGCGGGGUAAUGGCCCACCAAGGCGACGAUCGUUAGCUGGUCUGAGAGGACGAUCAGCCACACUGGGACUGAGACACGGCCCAGACUCCUACGGGAGGCAGCAGUGGGGAAUAUUGGACAAUGGGGGCAACCCUGAUCCAGCCAUGCCGCGUGAGUGAUGAAGGCCUUCGGGUUGUAAAGCUCUUUUGGCGGGGACGAUGAUGACGGUACCCGCAGAAUAAGCCCCGGCUAACUUCGUGCCAGCAGCCGCGGUAAUAC